AGUGGUUACAAUACCAAGUAUUUACUGCAGCCGCCAUUAAUCAUACUACUAACGCAAUAGAAGUCAAAAUCGGUUGAACAAACAGUAAAAAAGGUUUACUCAAAUUUCUAAUGUUAUUUUGAAUGGAGUAUAGUUAUCUAUAAUAUAGUAAUUGUUUUGGCCAGGGCCCGAGCUCGCGUGGUCAUUGGCCGAAACUGCAGCGGGGAGUCGAUCGGUGUCCGGGACUACUCCUUCCACCCUGACUACCGGAGAGGCUCCUACAGCACCCUAGCCAUGAUACAAUUAGAAACUGAUUAUUUGAGAAUGCCAUUGCGUCCCAUCUGUCCACCACCGACACACUUCGCGAAUCAAACAUUUUAUGCAAUGAUAUUGUCUGAAAACUGCGCUCAAUCCACUGUUCGGAUUCAUAAAAUGAAAUAUGUAUCUCCCGAAGAUUGCAAGAUUUUUUACAGGAGAUCAGGGCUGGACUUAGAUACAAUGUGGCCGAUGCAUACGGCCUGCGGUCAAAGUGUUACGGGAGGACAUUGCGUGUGGCGGAGCGGAGCCAUCCUAGUGGUCAAGAUUGAUCGCCGCUGGAG